rnacentral:rRNA from 2 species
GCGUGCCUAAUACAUGCAAGUCGAGCGAACAGAUGAGAAGCUUGCUUCUCUGAUGUUAGCGGCGGACGGGUGAGUAACACGUGGGUAACCUACCUAUAAGACUGGGAUAACUCCGGGAAACCGGGGCUAAUACCGGAUAAUAUUUUGAACCGCAUGGUUCAAUAGUGAAAGACGGUUUCGGCUGUCACUUAUAGAUGGACCCGCGCCGUAUUAGCUAGUUGGUAAGGUAACGGCUUACCAAGGCGACGAUACGUAGCCGACCUGAGAGGGUGAUCGGCCACACUGGAACUGAGACACGGUCCAGACUCCUACGGGAGGCAGCAGUAGGGAAUCUUCCGCAAUGGGCGAAAGCCUGACGGAGCAACGCCGCGUGAGUGAUGAAGGUCUUCGGAUCGUAAAACUCUGUUGUUAGGGAAGAACAAAUUUGUUAGUAACUGAACAAGUCUUGACGGUACCUAACCAGAAAGCCACGGCUAACUACGUGCCAGCAGCCGCGGUAAUACGUAGGUGGCAAGCGUUAUCCGGAAUUAUUGGGCGUAAAGCGCGCGUAGGCGGUUUCUUAAGUCUGAUGUGAAAGCCCACGGCUCAACCGUGGAGGGUCAUUGGAAACUGGGAAACUUGAGUGCAGAAGAGGAGAGUGGAAUUCCAUGUGUAGCGGUGAAAUGCGCAGAGAUAUGGAGGAACACCAGUGGCGAAGGCGGCUCUCUGGUCUGUAACUGACGCUGAUGUGCGAAAGCGUGGGGAUCAAACAGGAUUAGAUACCCUGGUAGUCCACGCCGUAAACGAUGAGUGCUAAGUGUUAGGGGGUUUCCGCCCCUUAGUGCUGCAGCUAACGCAUUAAGCACUCCGCCUGGGGAGUACGACCGCAAGGUUGAAACUCAAAGGAAUUGACGGGGACCCGCACAAGCGGUGGAGCAUGUGGUUUAAUUCGAAGCAACGCGAAGAACCUUACCAAAUCUUGACAUCCUUUGACCGCUCUAGAGAUAGAGUCUUCCCCUUCGGGGGACAAAGUGACAGGUGGUGCAUGGUUGUCGUCAGCUCGUGUCGUGAGAUGUUGGGUUAAGUCCCGCAACGAGCGCAACCCUUAAGCUUAGUUGCCAUCAUUAAGUUGGGCACUCUAGGUUGACUGCCGGUGACAAACCGGAGGAAGGUGGGGAUGACGUCAAAUCAUCAUGCCCCUUAUGAUUUGGGCUACACACGUGCUACAAUGGAUAAUACAAAGGGCAGCGAAUCCGCGAGGCCAAGCAAAUCCCAUAAAAUUAUUCUCAGUUCGGAUUGUAGUCUGCAACUCGACUACAUGAAGCUGGAAUCGCUAGUAAUCGUAGAUCAGCAUGCUACGGUGAAUACGUUCCCGGGUCUUGUACACACCGCCCGUCACACCACGAGAGUUUGUAACACCCGAAGCCGGUGGAGUAACCUUUUAGGAGCUAGCCGUCGAAGGUGGGACA